GCACACAUGGGAGAAGAUCCUUGAUGUACACGGCUGCAUAUAUGUGGUGAUAUUCUAUGCAACAGGAAAAAGAGAAGCCUGCAGCGGCACCACGGGGAAAGGAGGAUAGAGUCCAUACACACUGCUAGGAAGGUUAGGAGAGAGGAGGCUGCAAAAAAGGAAGAUUUUUUUUGGAGAAGGAGAACGUCUCACUUGAAGCCGAGCAAUACUUCUCAAAGGCAGGUUCUCCUAGGUGAAAUCACAUGAAAUUUGCAUCUUCU
rnacentral:lncRNA from 1 species